rfam:Oryza barthii chromosome 10, whole genome shotgun sequence.
AAAAAGACAAACCUUAAGUUUCCGUAUCUAACGUUUAACUGUCCGUCUUAUAUGAAAUUUUUUAUAAUUAGUAUUUUCAUUGUUGUUAGAUGAUAAAACAUGAUUAAUAUUUAUACGUGACUUGUUUUUUUAAUUUUUUUAAUAUUUUUUUAAAUAAGACGGAUGGUCAAUAUUAGACACGGAAAUCUAUGGUUGCCGGACGG